UCAAGGCUAUACUCAAAACUAAUCUUCAAAGGAUUAAAAUACCCAAUAAGUUUUCAAGGAGACAUGGAAGCGCUCUUUCAAAUCCAGUGUUUCUUAAGCCUCCAGAUGGCACUCUAUGGAAAGUGUAUUGGACAAAAAAGAAUAGUGAUGAAGUUUGGUUUGUAAAAGGAUGGAAGGAAUUUACCAAAAACUACUCUCUUAAUGAAGGACAUUUAGUUGUGUUUAAAUAUGAAGAAACUUCUCAGUUUGAUGUAAUCAUACUUGAGAUAAAUGAUCUAGAAAGGGUUGGUG